rnacentral:rRNA from 1 species
AUUGAACGCUGGCGGCAGGCCUAACACAUGCAAGUCGAACGAGUGGCGGACGGGUGAGUCAUGUCUGGGAAACUGCCCGAUGGAGGGGGAUAACUACUGGAAACGGUAGCUAAUACCGCAUACCAUCGGGUGUGCCCAUAUGGGAUUAGCUAGCAGGUGGGGUAACGGCUCACCUGGGCGAAGAUCCCUAGCUGGUCUGAGAGGAUGACCAUGCACACUGGAACUGAGACACGGUCCAGACUCCUACGGUAGGCAGCAGUGGGGAAUAUUGCACAAUGGGCGCAAGUCUGAUGCAGCCAUGCCGCGUGUAGGAAGAAGGCCUUCGGGUUGUAAAGUACUUUCAGCGAGGAGGCGUUACUCGCAGAGGAAGCACCGGCUAACUCCGUGCCAGCAGCCGCGGUAAUUC